AUUCUCUGGUCCAGGAUCCUUGUGUUGCUGGAGAUAAUCCAUUAUCGUGGGUGCAGCAGACACCCUGCGGCUUGUGGACUCGCCAGGUCUCCAGCUGGGGUGGACGUGCCCACCAGCUGCCGAAGGCCAAGACGCCAGGUCCGGUGGACGUGACAAGCAGGACAUGACAUGGUCCGGUGUGACGGCGAGGACAGAGGAGGCGCGUCCGGCCUUCCUGAACACCUUAGGCUGGUGGGGCUGCGGCAAGAAGCGGGUCUGUUUCUUUACUUCCUCCACGGAGUCGGCACACUAUGGCUGCCCUCUGGGCUCCCAGAACCCACAACAUGAAAGAAAUGGUGCUACCCAGCUCAAGCCUGGGCCUUUGAAUCCGGACACAAAACCCUCUAGCUUGGAAAUGAAUAUGCUGCACUUUACAACCACUGCACUACCUGACUCAGGAAUCGGCUCUGGAAGGUGAAGCUAGAGGAACCAGACCUCAUCAGCCCAACAUCAAAGACACCAUCGGAACAGCAGCGCCCGCAGCACCCACCCCGCACCGGCGACUCCAUCUUCAUGGCCACCCCCUGCGGCGGACGGUUGACCACCAGCCACCACAUCAUCCCAGAGCUGAGCUCCUCCAGCGGGAUGACGCCGUCCCCACCACCUCCCUCUUCUUCUUUUUCAUCCUUCUGUCUCUUUGUUUCUGAGCUUUCCUGUCUUUCCUUUUUUCUGAGAGAUUCAAAGCCUCCACGACUCUGUUUCCCCCGUCCCUUCUGAAUUUAAUUUGCACUAAGUCAUUUGCACUGGUUGGAGUUGUGGAGACGGCCUUGAGUCUCAGUACGAGUGUGCGUGAGUGUGAGCCACCUUGGCAAGUGCCUGUGCAGGGCCCGGCCGCCCUCCAUCUGGGCCGGGUGACUGGGCGCCGGCUGUGUGCCCGAGGCCUCACCCUGCCCUCGCCUAGUCUGGAAGCUCCGACCGACAUCACGGAGCAGCCUUCAAGCAUUCCAUUACGCCCCAUCUCGCUCUGUGCCCCUCCCCACCAGGGCUUCAGCAGGAGCCCUGGACUCAUCAUCAAUAAACACUGUUACAGCAA
rnacentral:lncRNA from 1 species